CCUACGGGAGGCAGCAGUGGGGAAUCUUGCGCAAUGGGCGAAAGCCUGACGCAGCAACGCCGCGUGUGGGACGAAGGCUCUCGGGUUGUAAACCACUUUCAGCAGGAACGAAAUUGACGGUACCUGCAGAAGAAGCACCGGCCAACUACGUGCCAGCAGCCGCGGUAAUACGUAGGGUGCAAGCGUUGUCCGGAUUUAUUGGGCGUAAAGAGCUCGUAGGCGGCUUUGUAAGUCGGGUGUGAAAACCCCAGGCUCAACCUGGGGACGCCACUCGAUACUGCAAUAGCUAGAGUUUGGUAGGGGAUCACGGAAUUCCUGGUGUAGCGGUGAAAUGCGCAGAUAUCAGGAGGAACACCGGUGGCGAAGGCGGUGAUCUGGGCCAAUACUGACGCUGAGGAGCGAAAGCGUGGGGAGCAAACAGGAUUAGAUACCCUGGUAGUCCACGCCGUAAACGUUGGGCACUAGGUGUGGGCCUUUAUCAACGAGGUCCGUGCCGCAGCUACGCAGUAAGUAGCCCGCCGUCGGGUAGGUACGGUCGCGAGAACGUAAACGUACGAAAGGAAGUUAGUAACGGUCGUGAGACGUGCCGAACGGACGACGACGAGGGAGGAGG
rnacentral:rRNA from 1 species